AAGUUUGGACAAUGGGCGCAAGCCUGAUCCAGCCAUGCCGCGUGAGUGAAGAAGGCCUUCUGGUUGUAAAGCUCUUUCGGACGGAACGAAAUCGCGCAGGCUAAUACCCUGCGCGGUUCACGGUACCGGCAGAAGAAUCACCUGCUAACAACGUGCCCGCAGCCGCGGUAAUACGUAGGGUGCGAGCGUUAAGCGGAAUUACCGGGCGUAAAGCGUGCGCAGGCGGUGGAUUAAGACAGGCGUGGAAUCCCCGGGCUUAACCUGGGAACUGCGCUUGUGACUGGUCAGCUAGAGUACGGCAGAGGGGGGUGGAAUUCCACGUGUAGCAGUGAAAUGCGUAGAGAUGUGGAGGAACACCGAUGGCGAAGGCAGCCCCCUGGGCCGAUACUGACGCUCAUGCACGAAAGCGUGGGUAGCAAACAGG
rnacentral:rRNA from 1 species